AAAAAACCAAAAUACAUGGACCAAACAUCAUUUCUGAUAUUUGCAAUAUCAGAUGCAGCGGCUUUCAUCUCAUCCUCAACUGCAAUAUUAAUAUUCUUGUCUAUUCUCAUCUCACGUUAUGCACAGUAUGACUUUUACAAGUCAUUACCUUUGAAGUUAAUAUCUGGACUUAUGACUCUGUUCCUCUCCAUAACUUUUAUGAUGGUAGCAUUUGGCAGUGCUUUCUUCAUAACAUACACCUAUAGUUCGAGGCUCAUUCCAGAUUUAAUUGCAGUAUUUGUUUGUCCACCAUUACUUCUGUAUAUAGCUCUACAAUUUUCUUUAUGGUCAGAUAUCCUAUAUUCAACCUUCUAUUGUAGGACUCUAUUUCGGCCAAGCAAACGUAUGAUAUAUACAAUUAUGUAGAACAUUGUAAUACAAAAUAGUAGUUUAAUGCAUUCUAAUAUAUAUUUUUGACUCAAGGUGUAUGAUAGUGUCUAAUGUGUUGUUUUAUCAAUUCGGAAGCAAACAGUAUUUUCUUUAACCUGUGUUGAAAUGAGGCAGAAUGUGUGGGAAAGGACAAGACUGCAAGAAAAAAACAUUGCUAUGGUGAUAUUUGAUAUAUUAUGUUCAAGUUAUAUAUAUAAACAGGUCAAAUUCCAAAUAUAGAAAUAGUGGUUAUACUAUAUUUAUCAUUCGGUUGGGUUGUUUGUUGUUCUAAGCUUCUGUUGUUCUUUUUGUCUAUUGUUGUGGUUGUAAAGAGAUAGUAUCGGGUUUGAUUUUGAGUUUGUACGGGUUAGAUUUGAAUUUGUACGGGUUAAUUUUGAAUUUGUACAGGUUAGUCUUGAAAGUGUACGGGCUGUACGGGUUUUUAGUGGUAGAUUUGUUUGUCUCUCUAUUUGUUAGUUUGGGAAACCAGAGAAAUUGUCUCAUAUUUUUUUUUAGGUAUAUAUAAGGGUUGAACCACCCCUUAAGUGGUUCCUGUUAUUCAAUCCUUUUUGCUGAUAAAAAAAAAAUUAUGACAAAUACUUAACAAUCACCACCUCUCCUAAAAUAACCUAAGUCAAACUAAAACUAUCACGAAGAAUAUAAUGGCAUAAUAUAAUGGCAUAAGACUUCCUCUUAAGUCUGUACUUUUUUUGUUGUAUUUUUUAUGAAAUUGCACAUUCAUGUUGAAAAGAUACCCCAAAUGUAAUGACUAUAACCGCCUGCUUAUGUUGAGACCAUCACUUGUAUUCCAAUUUAUCAUCGGAAAUAAGUGCAAUAUGGGUCUUCCCAUGACUAAGCUUUAACAUCAUCAUGAAAAAAUUCAGUGACAAAAUAAGUCCCUUUUGCAUCUGUCUCUGAAGCAAUCAAUAUCUAUAGAGAUUGAAUCUUUAAAGCAACAAAUUAAUUAUCUUUCCUGGUUAUCUUUCCUCUUAUAUUCCUCCCUGUUUUUUGAACUUAGUUCUUGUAUUCUUUAUUCUGCUGCUUUUCCUAUUAUUGUGUUUGCACUAUGCUUCUAUUAGUUAGUCUUCCUCUGCAUUUCUAAUCUUCUGCAUAACUUUUUGUAAACUGCAUAUCCUGUUAAGCACCUGCAUAAUUUUGAUAAUAUGCACAAAGUUGGUAUUAUCUAUAAAAAAAAUUACAAAACUAAGAAAAAUACUUCUUCUUAAGGAUAGAUAGGUUAAGUAAGUUAAAAAUCUUACAUCAAUUAUACAUAUAUUUAAAUUAUAAUAUACAAUUAAGAUAUAAAUUUUAUUUUACAAACUUAUUUUGUAAAAUUUAAUUAGAUAUAAAUUUAUUUAUUAAAUUAAUGUGAGUUAAUACUUAAAAGAAAAUAAAUAAAAAAUUUAUAUUAAAUAAAAUUAGACAAAAAUGAUUAAGAUAUAAAAGGUAAAGAAAUUUAUUAUUUUAAAGUUUUGAAUUAAAAGUUAUAUUUAACUCAAUUGAUUAUCUGUAAUUCUUUUGUUCUGGGUAUCCAAUAAUUUUUUAAAUAUUUGUCCUUCUAAAUAUUUUCUCCUGUUAGUUUCCCUCUCUCCUUAAAUUUUGUUUACAUGUGACGAGGAAAAGUUUGGCUGAAGCUUUAAAUUUGAUUUUGAUAAUUUAUUUUAUAAAAAAGUAAACGAGUAACUCAUACUUAAAAGAAUGACUUUAUUAAAGAAUUAUGUUUUCAAAUACAGCUUUAAAUUAUUUUUAUUACUUUUAUGUUGAAAUCGUAAUAUUAACAUUUUUUUAUUAAUUAAAAAUAAAUAAAUUAUUUAGGUCAUGUAAAUGAUGCUUCAAUCCUAUACAUACAGAAUUCAAUGCAAAAGACACUAUCAUUUAAAAAACUAAAAUCAAACACUUACCUCCUGCAAGAAUACUAUGAUUGUAAAAAAUAAUAUCAUACCCAAAACAAUAAUAUAGAACAUAAAAAAAUAUUUUUAAUCAGAUAAAUUAUCUUCCUUUUAUUAGAACAAAUUAUACCUGAUUCUACACACCUCUUAUUGAAAUAAGUAACAUAAUUUAAAUAUUUUUAUUUAGAAGUCUAGGAAGUAUAUUUUUUAAAACAUAACUUUAGUAUAAAUUUAAAUACUGUCACUUACUUAUUUAUAUGACUUUUAAAUAAAUAAAUAAACUACGGUGAUUUGAGAAAAAAAAAUCCAAUUGAAAGUUCUAUUUUAAGAAAAGUUCUCAAUGGUUGAAAUUUAAGUUGAAUGAAUUCGGUUGAUGUUAUUGUUCUCGAGUCACAUUUUGAACCUUUCAAGUUUUUGGAUGUACCUAAUUCAGUUAAUCUUAUUAUAAGUAAUAUUUGGAUAGUUUUGGUAAGUGAAAUUUGAAGACACACGAAUAAUUGUUCGUUUAAAGGAGUGGUUGAUCAUACUUAAGUAUUUUCUCUGGCACAGGUCAAAGUUUGGUCUUUGAUCAAUUCAAAGAUACCGUCAGUGAGUUUCUCGUUUUCUUUCUGAAGGGUGUCUUGAACCUUUGGUAUAUAUGUACUCGAUUUAAUAUUGGUGCAUUAUUUUAUUAUUCAAUUAUUAGUGUUGGAAAAAGAAGUAGAAGAUUAAAUUGUGGGUUUUAGAUAUGAAGGUAGAAAUAAACUUUUAUCUUUUGUUUUCUGUAUGAAGAUUGGACUACCACUUAAAUUAGUCGAUUUAAUUUAAUUAUUUAUUGUCAAUAAAAAAAGUCAAAGUGUUAGAAACCAGAGUUGUAGGACAUGAUGGGAAAAAUGCACGCGGAAACAACACACAAUCACGAAUCAACUGCAGAAAAAUAAAGGACACAAAAUUUAAUGUGGUUCAGUCGCCAACUGCAACCUACAUCCACACAGGCAACUAUUAGGUUUACAUUAUAUCCUGUUGCGCACCAAUUACAAGUACAAUGGUCUCUUUAAAUAGAGAUAAAUAGAGAUAAUAAAGGAUACAAUGAUUAAGCCCACUCACUAAAACAUGGUGUCUACUCUACCCAACCCAAUUGGUCCUAGCUUCAUACCCAACAAUCUCCCACUUGAAGUUACGGAACAAUGUUCACCUGCGCUUCAAUUGUGUACAUGUACUUCUGUAAUCUGUCGACGAAACUCAAUGUUCCACCACUAGUUGCCACCAACCUUCUUAAUCAUUUUGAAGACUUCGUUAAAACUCCCCUGAGUUUCAACACGUCAGUCACUGACCCGUUCUCUAUUCCUACCGACUCCCACUUACAGGAACACUGUCGGAUCCUGGAACAACCUGAGAACAAACACUCUCCAUAUACCCGUUCUCUGUUCCUAUCGACUCCCACUUACAGGAACUGUCGGAUCCUGGAACAACCUGAGAACAAACACUCUCCAUAUUCAACAAGAAAUUUUCUGGAGAAGUUUCAACCGCUGGAAUACUGGUUCUCCUAACCCACUGUCGUCUAAGAACCUUAGCUGAAGCACGACCCGUGCUCCCACUGCCACAAGUACCUCUGACUGGUCUACCUGAACCUUUCCAUGCUCGUUCAUCCUGAAUCUGACCUGUGGCUCUGGGUUUCUUUCUUGUAAAGACAACCCUCUUCUGCCCACGAGAUUCUGUGAACCGGACUUUGUUUAUCUUCUGAACUGGGAUGGUCACUCCCUCAGACACGGUAAUCCGACCAUAUACAACUAACCUCUCUUUCUUCGGCAGGCCAUGACAAGAUUUCCCUUGACGACCUUUCACUGCUGAUUUCCGAACUUCACUUCAUGUCCCUGUUUGUCCAACUGUCUAACAAAAAUCAAACUUUUCGUCAAGCUUGGAACAACUCUGAUAUCCUUCGAAGUCCAAAAACCAAUUGGUGUCCUCAACACUAUGUCACCCAUGCCCGUAACAUCAAGAGUUGCUGUCUGUUAGUCUUACCUUUCCAAAGUCUCCAAUAACUAGAUUCUGCAAUGCUUCAGAAUCCAUGACCCAGGAAUCCACACUGCUAUCCACGCAACAGACUAAAAAGUCCUCAUCCGCGAAGUCUUCUAAAAUGUUGACUUAUUUAUCAUUAGGGCAUUGAUUCCUGAAAUGUCCCACGUCCUUCCAGUUCCAACAUGUUACACUUGAGUAAUCCCGAGUCUUUGACUGACUCCUUCUUUUUUUCUUGCUCCCACUAUCUCUGAUAUUUUUCUUACCUCUGAUGACAUAUAGCGAUUCACUAGAUAAUUCCCCAGAACUCCUUCUUCAGACAUCCUCGCCAAGAAUGAGAUCAUGAAUCUUCUCAAAAGUGAAUUCAUCGGAUCCCGCUGAACUGUUAACUGUUGUAAUCGUUCCGGACCAAUUGUCAGGCAAAGACAAUAACAGUAGUAAAGCUUGAACUUCAUCAUCGAACUUAAUUCCCAUUGACAUAAGUCUGGCUAAGAUCGAAUAUUGAUGUGCUCAGUAACUGAACUCGCAAAUCCUCAAUUUGCAUUUUCCACCAACUGAAAUUUGUACCAUCGAAUUUUCAAUUCGGAACUUCCCUUCUUCUGCCAUCUCAAAUGACUAGACGAGAUACUCGGUACAACUAAUUUCAAAUCUUGGCAAUCCUUUUUUUUUUUAAAUCAAGACCACAAAAAUUGCACCACCCAAAAUCACUCACCAACAGACCUAGUCGCAGUCCCCACUACACUGGCGCUCCGCACCACCACCGUCGCUGGUCACCACUAUUGUGAGGCAGAUCUGGGAGCCUCCUCCUUGCACCGCUGUGAAACCCUAAGCCUUAGGACGCUACUACAGCCCCUGCGAAACCCUAGCUUUGGGAUGUUGUUGCCGCCUCUGCGAAACCCUAGCUUUGGAACACUGCUGCCGCCUCUGCGAAACCCUAACUUUGGGACGCUACUGCAACCGCAAUUUUUACUUCGUCGAUUAAUUUCUGUUGAUCGGAUCUCUAUGUAAACGAACCAAAGCUCUUGAUACCACUUGAUGGGAAAAAUGCAUGCGGAAACAACACACACAAUCAUGAAUCAACUGCAGAAAAAUAAAAGACACAAAAUUAACGUGGUUCGGUCGCCAACUGCAACCUACAUCCACACGAACAACUAUUAGGUUUAAGCCCACUCACUAAAACAUAGUAUCUACUCAGCCCAACCCAAUUGGUCCUGGCUUCAUACCCAACAGGACAAUCAUUGGACAGAACAAAAGCUUAUGAGAGUAGGGAAAGUGGGAACAGUAAUAAAUAAUUUGAAUUAUUAUCACCCAUAGCACUUAUUUCUUAUAUUCUUUUUAGGUAAAUUUCACAGUACUCAUGAUCUCACAUUUUUCAAAUAAAAAAAAUAUUUCACAGUUUUUUUCUCUCUCUCGGUAAAAUUUAGUUUAAUGAACUAGUCAAUUCUUUCUUCACAUAUUUUAACCGGCAAAGAUAAAGACUACGAAAGCGAUUAUGGUCUUGACCCUUUUUGUGCACGCGGUUGUUUGCUAGUAAAUCUACUACUAAAUUUUCAACAUAUUUUAUAAACAUACUUUUUAAAGUUUUAUAUAUAUUUUUUUUUAAAAUGUUUACCAAUCUAUAAAAAAACAUUUUAAAAGACUGGUAUUUAACAUCAUUUAUAUUUAUUUAUUUUCACUUAUAAAUACAACAAACUCUUUUAUUAUUUAAGAAAAGGUGAAUAUCACUUGUUUUCAGGUAUAUGUAUUGAGGAGGGAGGGAGGGAGGAAGAGUAAUUCUUUUAUUUGUUUAAGUGAUUUUGAAAGUGGAAGAGUAGAGGAGAGAGGAUUGAAGUUUUUUUAUUUAUUUUUUAAACAAAUAAAGAGAUUUGUGCGGAUUUAAUUUAGGAUUCUUACGUUUUAUCUAAAUAUAACUGCGCAUGCAUUUUAUUAUAAUAUAAAAUAUACAAAAUUAAAUAUUACAUAAAUUUAUUUAACAAUUUUAAAAAUAUUUAGUUAUACUAUUAAUAGCAACAAAUAAUUAUAAAUAAUAAAAAUAAUAAAAUAAAAUUAUAAUAUCAACAAAAAUAUAUAUAUUUAUAUAAACAAUAAAUAUUAUUUUCAUAAAUUUUAAUAUAUUUAAUAAUUUUAUUUCAAUUUAACACAAAAUAUUUUCUAUUAUAUUUUUUUAAUUUUUUAUUAAAAAAUACAAGUAAUUAUAAAUAUUAUAUAUUAGAAAGUUUUAAUUAACUCAAAUUUGCAAAAAAAAAUAUAAUUCAUUAUUCAAAUAGUUUUUAUUAACAAUGAUAAAUUUGUAAACUUACAUUUUACACUUUUAAAAUAAUUUAUAAAUUUCAUCCCAAAUAUAACAUCACUAAUAAAUUUCAAUACAUCAUCCUCAUAAAUUCAUUUUAAUCAUCUCUCAAUCCAAACAACUUCGUGACACAUUCUCUCUAAUCUCCACUCCCUCCUCUCCCCCACAAAUCUUCUUCCCAAUCCAAACACAGUAUAAAAAAGUUAGAAUAACACUUUAAUUCCAUGCAUGAUAUAUUUAAGGCAACACAAAUUAUUGUAAAUAGAUUAUUAUUUUAUCACUUAAUUCAUUAUUUUAUACACACAUUUAUGCCAAAUUUACUACUAAAUUGCACUUUUAUUUUGUUAGGAUAGCUAUAAAAAAAAUGUAUUGUUGACAAAAACUCGUCAUUGACAUAUUGAAGGAUGAUGUGUUUACUGGUCCAUCUAAUGUGACAUCUUCUAUGCUGUUAUAUCAGGUAUAAAUAAAAGAGGACAAAUUUAAGGCCUAGGAUCAAUGGAUGAAACAUUCAAACUUUUUUUUAAAAAAAAUGUCAUACUUAUCUAAAGAAAAUAAGAGCUUAGAUGACAUGUUAAUUGUUGAAAAAGAAAAAUCACAUUUUAAAAAAAUGACAAUUUAUGUUGGAUUUUUCACUUACUUACCGAUAUGCAUCAGUAACACCUCUUUCACUAGAUUACGUCAAACACAACAUGAAAAAAAAAUAUUUUGUUAAUAUUUAUAAGGGUAAAUGAUUUAAAAAAAUAUUAAAUAGUAUAAAUUUUUAUAGUAUUAGGUCUUUAGAAAACUUUUAUUUUUUUUUAAACUUUGUUUACAUGCAUUUUAGUAUGUUAUAUAUGUAUUUAUACUUGUGCAUCCAUUAAUCUUUGUUGCCAAUAUGAAAAUUCAAAAUUACACAUGCCUAGGAAUAUAUAUCUAGUAAUAUUGUUUACAUAUUUGAGGAUUAAGUCCAAAAAAUAAACGUUUUAAAAACCAUGGUUAUAUAAAAAAAUCGUCAUAGUUGCUCAUUUCAAUGAUUUUGUAACAUAAUUUAAAAAAAAAUCUGAGCCAAAAAUUAUUUUUUGAAGCUAUGACAAUAAUUGAGAAUAAAAUCGUCAUUGUAACUUUAAAAGAUAAUGACAAAUUUAACUGUCAUUGAAGUAUGCUGACAAAAAAAAAACUAUCAUUGAAGUAUAUAACUUACAACAACAUCUUACAAAAUCGUGUUGAAACAUCUUUUUCAACUUUUAUUAAAAGAUUUGUGUACAAUGUUACUCUGGUGUCUUGAACUCUUGGUAUGUAUGUAUUCGAUUUAAUGAUAAUGUGUUUUUUAUUUUUCAAUUAUUAGUGUUGGAAAAAGAAGUAGAGGAUUAAUCUGUGGAUUUUAGAUACGAAGGUGAAAAUAAACUUUUAUAUUUUAUUCUCUGUACGAAGGUUAGACCACCCCUUAAGUAUGCCGAUUUAAUUUAAUUGCUUAUUGCUGAUAAAAAAUAACAAUGGUAAAUGCACAAAUCAAACGUACUCCUUGAAACAUCUUUCUUGCUCCAGUAUAAAAGAACCUACUCCUACUCCUACUACAUCUAGCUCAUGAAGGACGGAGGACGAAUGCCCCGACAUGAAGGACGGAGGACGGGUGACGGAGGACAACAGUACCAACAUGAAAGACGCACCGGUUGGCAUGAAGAUCAUGGGGAAACAAAUGAAUCUACAACUUUUUUCUUUUCGAACUUCCCAGACGAUCAUGGUGAGCUUGAAAUGUUCAAGGUGUUUCAAAGAUGGGCUAGAGUGAAAGAGGUUUUCAUUGCACGACGACCAAACAAAUGGGGAAGGAGGUUUGGGUUUGUGAGGUUCUUCGGAGUAAAGAACGUAGGGUGUCUGGAGAGAGAUCUGGAUCAGCUUUAUAUAGGGAACAAGAAGCUCUUUGUGAAUGUGCCAAAAUACUGUCGUCAAUAACUUGAACCAGCUGGGGUGGAGGGGAGGAUUCUGAGGGAGCCAUACAGGGAGAGGAAGAAUGAAACAGGGCAGCAAGACAAGCUGAAACACAAGCCUAGUCCGGAACAACUAAGGGAGGAGAAGUGGGUGGAGAGGAACGGGAGUAGGUCAUAUGCUGAUGCUGUAAGAGGUGAAUUCCAAAAGCAGUGGAAGGGCCAAAGUAUUAAAGUAGAACGAUGUAUCAUACCGUGGAUGGAAAGAAGUGUUGUGGGAAAGCUUAGAGAUGACUUGGGAGUCGACCAGCUAGGGGAGGAGUUAGUGAAAGGGGGUAUGAAUAUGGUUGAAAUGAGGUCUCUUGGAGACAACCUAGUGUUGCUUACGCCAAGAGCAGGGGAGAACAUGGAGGACGUUAUCAAGCUUAACAAGGAAUGGAUUGACAGUGUGUUUGUGAGUGUCAAACCUUGGUCAGCUGACAGCAACCCGAGCCAUAAGACAGUGUGGGUGAGAUGUUAUGGGUUACCUUUUGUAUUCUGGAAUAGGGAUUACUUUUCUAAAGUUAUAGGUCUUAUGGCUCCGUCGGCCACUCUUAAGGCUGUUGCGGAUUCCACUACAUCAUGGGAGCUACUAGAGUAUGCUCGAAUACAAGUAAGAAUUUUAAAGUUGGAGAAUGCGAAGAUGGCGAAAUGCGUGAGGGUAAAUGAUCAGUUGUGUAACAUUCUUAUUGAAGAAGAAUCCCCAGAGCCUCCUAGAGGAAGGUGUGAGGACUUAUAUCCUUCAUCUGAGUCGACGGAUAGCGUUUCUUCGUUAGAAACAUAUAUAGAAGAGACAGAUUUAUCCGUGAACAAUGAAGAGGAGGUGCCCAAACUAUGGGAGGUGGACGACUGCCGUGCAAAUGUGGAGGAGAAAGGGAAAGAGAAAAUGGUGGAAGAUGAACAAUACUCGUAUAAGACAAAAUCACCUUUUGUGGGCUCUCUGUCAAAAAGCAAAGUAGGGCAGAGGUCAGAAGAAAAAGUAACUACUACGAAUAAGGAAAGUAUGGGGCAGAAGGGAAGCGUAGGAGUUGACUUGGUGGGUGGUUCAGAACUAGGCUGCGGAGCAGGUUUAGAGGGGCCAAUUGUACAAGCUGACUUGGCAUUAUUGGUCAUGGAAGUGGAGCAUAAAAAUAACUCCAACAAAAAAUAUGGGGUUUUGGGCCGUAAUGGAAAGAUGGAGGCUCAAAUAGCAGAGGGAGGGCCCGAUGCUGCAGCCCAACAAGGAGAAGAAGCGGAGGGGUCUGUGGGCAGGCCCGGUGGAGAGGAGCCCGGACAGUGCAACGAUCAAGGUCUCACCUGCACGCGGAGUGGAAGCUCCUUAGGAGGACAACGAAUGAGUGGUAGCAAAGCAUCACAUAUACCAACUGUUGAUGGCAGAAAUUCAGGGGAUUGGGUAUCACAAUGUGGGGUGUCGUCAUGGUCAGAAGAGACCACCAGGGUGGAGCACACGACUGCAGGUGACGAAGACAGUGGAAAAGUCGGACUGAGGCCCUCGGGUGCGUCAAUCUUUAUCAUUUCUGUAGGAGAAGAGGGGGUGAAGGAGAGAAGUAAAUCCAAUUCUCCACCACGUAGGAGGAAGAAGAAAGGCCUUGCUGAUUUGGGAGAACCUUAUUCCCACCCAAGGCGAUCGGCAAGGCUGAGUCGUAGGUAAGCACAGGUGGCCACUCCGGCUACCAAUAGGAAUGAAAUAUCCUUAGCAUCCAUCUCUGAUAAGGAUAUAAAUAAUUGUAACACUCGGCUGAAUCACAUGUGUGAAAUAGAAGAACCACCCAAUCUGUGGGAAGUCGGAAAAAAGUGUGGUUUGUUCUGCAGGAAAGAUGAAGAUGAGGUCAUCAAAGAAUAUGGUAGUCUGGAAGAAAGAGAUUUGGAGGUUGUGAACCAGUGUAAGGAGGGUUUUGUGAAAGGUAUCCCAUGAUUUUAGUGAACCUAAAUAUUAGAGGAAUGGGGGGGGGGCAAUACUAAAGCUAGGUACUUGAGACAUCUUAUAGCUAGGGAGGGAGCGGAUUUUGUAUGUAUUCAAGAAACGAAAACAAAGGAGUUAUCAGAUACUAAAUGUUACUCUCUAUGGGGGGAUAACAAAAUUGGAUGGUUACAUUAUGGAGGAGAUAAUGGAAGAGGAAGCCUACUGUCGAUGUGGUCUAAGGAAGUGAUUAGGUACUCUGGCCAUUUGAUGGGAAAGGGGUAUAUAGUUGUUUUUGGCUGCUACAUCAAAUCUAAUCUGGAUUGUGCAGUGGUGAAUAUCUACUCCAGUUGCAACCUGUCUGACAAGCAGUCUCUAUGGGCGGAGUUAUCUAACAUCAAAGUUACAUCACAAAUCAAGGUGUGGUGCUUAUGUGGCGAUUUUAAUGCCAUAAGAAGUCGUAGCGAACGAAAAGGAAGUGCAGGCACGGGAAUUCUCUCAAGCGACCAUUCAAGAGAGAUCAAGGGGUUCAAUACUUUUAUUAAUGAUAAUCUUCUGUUUGAUAUCCCCUUAGUGGGUAAAAAAUUCACUUGGUUCAACGCGAAUGGCUCGGCAAAGAGUAGAUUAGACAGAGUUCUUGUCUCUGGGGAGUGGAUGGAUAAUUGGCUCAUGUGCAAACAGUAUGUUCAAAAUAGAGAAGUGUCUGACCACUGUGCAAUAGUGGUGAAGUCGUUGGAUAAAGACUAGGGUCCGAAGCCAUUCCGUACCAUUGACACAUGGUUUAUGGAGAGGGGCUUCUGUGAGAUGGUGAAAAAGAAGUGGAAUUCCUACCCAUUUCAGGGGAGUGCUUUUGUAAAGUUUAAAGAAAAAAUGAAGUGUCUAAAGGGUGACCUAAAGGUAUGGAAUAAGGAUGUGUUCGGUGAUAUCAAUACAAGUAAGAAGAGGACUCUACAGGAAAUUGAGGUUUUUGACUGUCAAGACUGUUCUGGAAUCCUUACAGAGGCUGAUAGGUUGAAAAGGAGUGUGCUGGUAACUCGCCUAAGGGAACUUGAUAAGAAGUUAGACUCUCUAGUGUGCCAAAAAGCCAGAGUAAGCUGGCUCAAGUAUGGUGACUCUUGUACCAGAUUCUACCACUCCACUCUGAGAUGGAGAAGACUUAAAAAUGAAGUUAAAGGAGUUGAGGUAGGGGGACAAUGGUUUGAGGAACCUUGUACGGUGCGUCUAGAAGCAAAGAAGUUGUUUGAGACUAGGUUCAAGGCAACGAAAGACCUCGGAGUAAGGCUUGAUGGGAUUGAGUUUAAGUCUCUCUCGACAGAGGUCAGUCUGAGUUUGAUAGCUGUAUUCACGGAAAAGGAAAUAAGAGAUGUUGUGUGGCAGUGUGAAGGCACGAAGAGUCCAAGGCCGGAUGGAUUCAAUUUUAACUUCCUUAAGAAAAGCUAGGAAGUUAUGAAAGAUGAAGUUGUGGCAGCGAUGAUUCUGUUUCACGAAACUGGAUGUAUUUCGAAGGGCUGUAACGCUUCCUUCGUUGCUCUAGUACCCAAAGUUAGGGAUCCUGCUAAGCUUGAGCAGUACAGACCAAUUUCCCUGGUGGGUGCUUUGUAUAAGAUCAUCGCAAAGGUGUUGGCGGAAAGGAUUAAGAAUGCUCUCCCCCAUGUCAUUGACGAAAGCCAAUCGGCAUUUCUCAAGGGAAGAGAAAUCUUAGACAGCAUCCUUAUGGCUAAUGAGGUGGUAGAGGACUUGAGGAGAGGUGAGAGGAGUGGUCUAUGCUUAAAAGUGGACUUUGAGAAAGCAUAUGACUCAGUUAGAUGGGACUUCCUCUAUGAUAUGCUACAAAGGACGGGCUUUCACAAUAGGUGGAUCUUGUGGAUUAGGGGGUGUAUGGAGAGCGCAUCGGUAUCAGUUCUGGUAAAUGGAAGCCCAACGGAAGAGUUUAUACCAUAUAGAGGGUUGCGUCAGGGUGAUCCAUUAGCACCUUUUCUCUUUCUGGUGGUAGCAGAAGGCCUUACGGGGCUAGUAAGGGAAGCUGUAAAGGCCAACCUUUUAACUGGCCUAAAGAUAGGAAGAAAGGGGACCCUUAUGAGCCUCCUACAGUUUGCAGAUGACACCUUAUUCUUCUGUGAGGACUCCUUCACCAAUGUGGUGACUCUGAAGGCUAUUCUGAGGGGAUUUGAGCUAGCAUCAAGGCUAAAAAUCAACUUCCACAAAUCAAAGCUCACAGGUCUUAAUGUCCUUGAUAAAGACAUUGAAUGUUACACCAAGACUUUAAAUUGCUCUACGAUGAAAACACCGUUUAACUACUUGGGUAUUGAGGUGGGGGGUAAUCCAAGGAAGAAAAAGUUUUGGGAGCCUGUCCUGAAUAAACUGAAGUCUAGACUUAGCGUAUGGAAAGGGAGAUUCCUAUCUAUGGCAGGCAGAAUAUGUUUGGUGAAAUCUGUCAUCACUGUUGUACCGCUCUACUACCUCUCUCUGUUUAAAGCACCGGAGUCGGUAUGCAAAAGCAUCAUCAGCAUUCAAAGGAGGUUCUUGUGGGGAUGGGGAAAGGAUAAUAAGCCGAUAUCAUGGAUAACUUGGAAAAACAUUUGUAAACUGCGAGAGGAAGGAAGUUUAGGCAUUCGUGACAUUCAGAAGUUCAAUAUAGCACUUUUAGCUAAGUGGAAGUGGAGAUGUAUAUCGAACGAGAAAGGGAAAUGGAAAGAGUGUUUGGAGUCAAGUAUGGUACGGAUCAAGAUGGAAACCACACCCCACUGAACUAUCAAUCUUGGUGGUGGAGAGAUCUAGUGAAGGUCUGCCGGCAAGGAGGGGGAGAGAGGUGGUUUAAAAAAGAGGUUGGCUGGAAAGUAGGGAAGGGAGAUAAAGCAAGAUUCUGGGAGGACGUAUGGACAGGGAAUGCCAGCCUUAAGGCUUUAUUUCCUAGACUAUUCUCUCUGUCACUACACCAGGGCCAGACGAUGGGAGAGUUUGGGAUGUGGGAGGAGUCAGUGUGGCAGUGGAAGUUAAGGUGGAGACGUAACAGAUUUGAGUGGGAGGUCCCCCUCGAAACUAAGUUUAGUAUGCUUAUUUUCAGGGUCACUAUUAAAAAGGAUGAACAGGAUAAGCAAGUAUGGAGGAGUGACGAAUCAGGGAGCUUUACAGUGAAGUCUGCAUAUAAAUGCCUAGAAGAGCCCGAAGGAGGUACACAAAUCUCGCCUUUUGGCUGUCUUUGGAAGACAAAAGCUUUUCCUAAUAUGCUGAUCACUGCGUGGAGAGUGCUUUUGGGUAGACUACCAACAAGGGAGUGUUUAAGUAAGAGAGGGGUAAUGGUGAACACCACAGAAUGUGCCCUUUGCCAAAUUAAGGAGGAAUCGUAUCAACACCUCUUUGUAGAAUGCAAGUAUGCAGUACGGGUGUGGGACUCAUGCUUUAGAUGGGUUGGUAUAUGGUCUGUCCAACACAAUAAUCUUAUGACCAAUUUUGAAGGUUUUUCCCUCCCCCAACACUCCUAUAAACAAAACCUGGUCUGGAAAGGUGUGUGGGCAGCUGUAGUCCGAUGUCUAUGGGAACAUAGAAACUCAAUUAUCUUUAACCAAAGAGUUGUAGAUGCAGAAGAAGUUUUUCACAAUGCCCAACUUAAAUCGUGGUUAUGGUUGAAACACAAGAAAAAUAAAUUCAUUUACUCCUAUGCAGAAUGGGUCAUGAACCCGUUGAUCUGCAUUUGCAGUAUCAAAUAACAAGGGGAGGCAUAUAGCAGGCUUGACUGGCUAAUGGUGGUGUUGCUGGAAAGAAGGAGGUUAAGGACUGGGUAAUAGCCAUUCUGGUUGGAAUAAGGAAGUGGCAUGGUUACAGUAGGUCCCUGGUGGAAGUGGUAAAUCUGGAGUGGAUGGUGCUACAGUUUGACUGCAGCUAGUACUGGGUGGGAAUAACAAUGGGCAUGGUCUGCAAUGGAGCCUACCAGCACCGGUUCUAUGUGUUAGUGCUGUCUAGGCAGGUUCUGAUGAGGGGGAAUAUAUACAAGGAUAGAAGUGGUAGAUGUCAUAGGAUUGCCAUAGUGAUCGGGAUGGGUGGAGUCAAGCGGAUGAAAUAGGGUGGGACAGCUGGUGCGUUGUGCUAGCUGCUGAACACAAUGCACAUAACAACUGAUUACUGGAAGGAACUAAAGCCAAAGGACUUGUGCUGGCUUUGGAAGGAGUGUUAUAGCGAAGGGGAUCACAAAUCAGUAGCUGUUGGGAUCUCUGUUAGAGUACAGUGUUAAAGAAGAAUAAUCCUUCUAGCAGAUUGCUCUGAGGCGGCAGGAACAAUUAAAAUGCUGAUGCGAACAAACAAGAUGUAAGCAAUAUCUGUUUUGCAGAAGCAGUUGAUAAAUGCAAGUAGCAAAAUCCAUGAAAGGGGAAGAGAUGAAUCAGUUGAUGGGAAGUUGGAGAAGUUGAGGUUGGAUGUGAACAAGAUAGAGGAUGUACUUGUGAGAGUGAAGAGGAAUGAAGAAGAAUAGCUUGACACACUAGCAGAGAUCAUCUCCAUAAGCUAGACCGAAGGAAGCUGGAUGAAGACAUGGAUGGCAUUUGUAAGAGAAUCAGAGAUUCUGCUCACAAGUUGCUCCCAAUGGAUGGGUCUGUUGACUCAUCUAAGAAGGAGAAUCACAACGGUGGGAAAAAAUUUCACUCCUCACAACAGAGACUCUCCUAAUCUUCACUGAGUAUGUUGUCAUAAGGAAGAGAAUUCUCAUUUAUUUGUGGAUUGGAGAGGGUGUCGUCGAAGGUACAGAGAACAAAAAAGCAGAGAAAUUGGCUGAGGACUUGAUUGAUGAGCUUUGUGCUUGAAAGAGAUGCUAGUUUUAGAAUGGGUCCCUCUAUCAACAAAAUUCGAAUUCUGCAUGAACUCCGUCGUCAGAUGGAAUUGUUUGUAAUAAGAAAAGACGUGCUGGACCUUAAUCCUGGAUUGGCUGCUGUUAUGUUUGAGCUCCAGUGCUUGGAAGGGAAGGACCAAAUGAGUGAGGUGUAUACAUGCUUGAUCCCGUAAGCUGUUGAAGUUGUGGGUUGAAUUACUCUGCUAUGCUGAGGAAGGGGACAUUGACCCCUGCUUUUAUAUGUUUUGUUUUGAAACCAAGUGUAGGAUAAAAGCUUAACUUUGGCUAGAUACUAUAUAGGGUAUUGUUUAUUAGACUAGCUAUUGGUGUUUGUUUAAGGGUUGGGAUACCCCUAAAGUAUCCCUUUAAUUUUAAUUAAUUCUUUGCUGAUAAAAAAAAAUAAUGAUGAUAUUUUGAUGAUUACUUGUUUCUUUUAAAUUUAUCCACUUAAAAUAUCAUUAUAAUUAUAAUAUUUAUUAUUUUUAGGUUUAGCAUAUGCAAAAUUACUCAUAUGCAUGUAAGACAUUUAAAGAUUAUAAUAUGUAGUUUGUUUUCUUUAAAUUUUGACUAGUAAUUAAAUGUGUCUCAUUUUAGUUAUUUGUUCAAGCUAGAAUUCAGACUUUUAACAUGUUUUUAACGUUUAAACCACACUUAAAUAAGCAUGCCAACAAAUAUCGUUUUCAAAUUUCAAAUGCUUGUUCUAAGUGAAACAACCUCACAUGUUUAGGCGAAAAGUUUUUCUUUCCAGCUAUCAAACUUGUUCUAUUUGAGCAUGUCCAAGAACAUCCUUUUAAAUUCUAAAGUAUUGUUGUGAAGAAAAAAGAUAAGACUUUCUGAUGAUAUGAUUGGUGUAAUUAUUUGUGAUGGAUUUAUAUUUUCUAUUUACGUCUUCUUUUGUUAAAAGUUUUGAUUUUGUCACAAAAAUAAUCAUAAAUUUUUUAUUGUAGAUUUUUAAAUAAGAAUUUUCACAGUAAAGUUAUAUUAACGUAAAUCUAAAAUCUAAAAUUUUCCAAGACUCUAUGGAUGAUAAAUCCAAAGAGUCUUACCAAAGAUGGUUCUUCUCCAAUGAAACAACCUCCCUACUUAACCCAUUUGAGGAAUUAAAAAGAAGAAGAAGAGGUCAUUAAGAGGAAGAAGCGAAAGUGAAAUGAGCAAAAUGAAAUGCCCAUAAGACUGUUAAAAGCACACUUAAGGGGUGUGGAGUACAAUUUAUUCAGGUUGAGUCAACGUUGUGUGGAGUACAAUUUGGGUUGGAGUAGUGAGCGAAAUUUGGAAACACAGGAACUCUGCCAUCUUCAAUAGGGGUGUGGCAGAUGUGGUAGAAGUGUUUGCUUCAAUGCAGGUAAAAGUUUGAUCUUGGAUUUUUGCAAAGUCUAGUUGUGUUGUUUUUCCUUACUCUAUGUGGGUGAUGAAUCCUUUAGAUUGUAUGAGGAUGAUUCAUUAGGACCGUUUGGGCCUCUGGUAAGUGCCUUUUGUUAGGAGGUUGGUAAGGUAAUCUUUGUAUAAGGGUUGGAUCACCCCUGAAGUGGUUCCCAUUUAUUUAUUUUUUAUUGCUGAUUAAAAAGAAAAACUGUUAAAAGCACCAGUGAAAUGGGAGAUUUUAAAUGGUAUGAAGGUAAAAAAGAAUUUAAAAACACUUCACCUUUUAAGCAUGAAAUGCCACGACUCUCAAAUGUUAAGUGGAUUUUCAACCAUUGCAAAAAGCUCGUUCAUCCAUCAUUGAGAUAUUCGAUGGUAUGUUUAUCCACUUUCGAGAAUUUGGGGUAAAAUCAUCUACGAAUUGAACAACUUGAAAUGACGUUAAAAUUAAUUUUGUUAUAAUAAAUUACAUACUUAAUAACAAGUCAUCAUCCUUAGUCUAAAAACUUCUCCAACUCUUACUAUAUUCUUUUGUAAAUAACCUUCCCUUAGUGUUUUUAGUGUUUUUUCAACACCAUCUUUUGGUCUCUCUAAAUCACCUCAAAUUACUUUAAGUGAAUGGUAAGAACAUUUAUUAAUUAUGAGUGAGAAAAUGUAAUUUAUUGAAAUUAACAUUUUUCCUAAUGUAAAAUAUGUUUUUUAAAGAAAUAGGGUAAUGUAGUAUAAUAUUAAAAUGUUUACAAAUGUAUUACUUAUCAUUAAUUUUAAAGAUACGAUUAUUUACUUGAUACUAUAGUAUAUAGUAAUUGUUUUCUACUUUUUAUUAGAAUCAAUUUAGUGACAAUUAAAUAAAUAGUACUGUAAACUAUUAAACUAGUACUGGAAAGUCAAGCCUUCCCUAAUUUUCAAUCAAGUGUGACCCCAUAAAAGCUUUACAAACAUGUGUUUUUGAUUAAGUUUCCACCAAAAUUCCACAUGCUUUUUCACAAUUCUAAUUCGAAUUGUAUGCUGCCAACCCUUUUUACGCGUUUGUUAUGACUCAUGCGUGCUUAUUCAAACUUAACUUGAGUUCAUUAAAAUGAACAAUAGCAUAUUUCAAUUUUCUUUAAAAAAAAUACUUCUAAAACAAUAAUUUGAUCAAUCCUUCGAGUAAGUAAAUGGAUGAUCGAUACAACUUUUAUAAGACCAUUUAAUUUUUCUUACUUUUAUCUAAUAUUAAUAUAUUCACUAAAAUUUAAAUUUGUUAUAUUCUUUAAAGUAUUUGUACAAAUACACUAUCAAAUUUAUUCUCUUCGAGUCUUUGCCCAUAAAAAAAAUUCUCUUCAAGACUUCACUAUGAGAUUUGUUCUCUUUUAAGUCUUCACAGUCCACACGGUCAUGGAUGGCUUUGUCGUGCCUUCACAUUUUCUUCGUGACGAUUAUGUGCCUUUGUUUUCAAUGUCUUCAUAAUGCUUGUAAUAUGCCUUUUGUUCAUUGCGUGGAUUUUUAUUUUUUAUUGAAAAAAAAAGAUUAUAAGAAAAAAAUAAUAAAAACAAAAGAUGACAAAUUAUGAACUGAUGGUAACUGCCCAGAAACCCUCUCCACUUCACUCAAAAUUACAGUUUCAAAUAUGCGUUUCAAUGUACUGUAGCCAUUAGUUAUGACAGUUUCAAAGUAUGUGAAAGAAGGUAGUGAUGUCUGACAGAAAUCCGCAACAACACUUAUAGAGCCAUAGCCUACUCUGCCAUCUGCAUUAAUCCUGAUUCCAGGUGCUCCAAAGGUCUUAAAAAUAUUACUUGUUAAAUAUUCAACGUGCACAUUAAGAUAUUUCAUAUUAUAUAUAAAUGAGUAUAAAUCUUAAUUAUAAACUAGUUUUAUAAGAUUUAAUUAGGUUUAAAAUCAAUUUUUUAAAAUGGUAUCAGAAUUAUUUAGAAUCUAUCAAACAAGAGUUAUCAUGUCACCUACUAUAAGAUCAUCCAAAAGUAUAUAGUUUCACAUACGAGUUGACAGUCUCAACGUGAGGAAGUGUGUUGUAGAUUCCACAUCGACUAAAAAUUAGAAUAUUUUGUAAUACAUAAGUGAGUACAAACCUCACUAAUUUUCUAAAAUUGAUAUCAAGAGUCAUUUUCGAGUCUAUCCUAACAAUUGUUUGUUGGACUUAUCAUGUCACCUGCUAUCGGAUCAUCCAUAAUAGGUUGUCCCACGUACGAGCUGUCACUCUCAGCGUAAGAGGAUGUGUUGUAGAUCCCACAUUGAGACUAAAGAUUAAAACAUUUCACUGUAUAUAAAUGGAUGAAAAUCUCAUUUCAUAAGCCGGUUUUAUGAGAUUGAGCUAGACUUAAUGUAUAUUUCUUAAUAUUUUACUUUAUUAUUAAUAUACACUUAGAUAAGCGUGUGUGUGAAGAAUUAUUUAUAAAUAAUUUGUGUAUUUAAAUUGAGUCAUGAUUAGAAAAUUUAUGCAUUUAAUUAAGCAGACUUGGAAUGUCUUAGUCUUUGUAAUUAUUUUAUUUUCACAGAGUUGACUACAAAAGACUAAGUCCAUUCAUUAUAUUGGGUUUUGUUUGAGUGAUUCAUUAGGAGGAAAGUGCAAUGCACCAAAAGACAUGAGAAAGCAACGAAUUAAAAAGGAAGAUUCUUCAUCAUUUCUUUAGUCUAUUCUAUAUCCUUUAAAUAAAUCUCCAAUUCUUCAGCUAAGACGGCACACACCACCACCUUCUUCUUCUUUUUCUUCUUCUUUUUUUCUUCUUUUUCUCUUUCUCCAUUCCACCUCCUCUUCUUUCAACUUUCUUUUCUGCUAUUUCUCCUAUUCCAAUCAUUUUCUCAUAUAUAUAUAUAUAUGUAUAUAUAUAUAUAUAUAUAUUCUUAGUUUUCAAAGUCUAUUUUGGAUACUAAAAUCUCUAACUAUUACUACUUGAGAUAGUAAGUCUCUAACUAAUAUCUAAAAUCAAUUGUAAUUUGAUGAUUUUAUCUUAAUGUUAAUUCANNNNNNNNNNNNNNNNNNNNNNNNNNNNNNNNNNNNNNNNNNNNNNNNNNNNNNNNNNNNNNNNNNNNNNNNNNNNNNNNNNNNNNNNNNNNNNNNNNNNAAAAUUGGUUUCUAAAUUAGUUUCUAUUAUUUUCUAUUAUUGAUAAAAAUAGUUUCUAAAUUGGUAUCUAAUUAGUAACCAAUGUUUUAUCUACCAAUUAUUUAGUUUCUAAAUUUAGUCUCUAAAACCUUGGUUGCUAAUUAGAGACCAAUUUAGAAACUAUUUAACAAUAAUAGAAACUAAUUUAGAAACCAAUUUUUGUUUUAGUUUCCAAAAUGGUCUCUAAUUUAGUUACUAUUGCGACUAAUUAUUUUGGUCUCUAAAAAUUAGUUUCUAUUUCAUCAUUUUCUUGUAGUGUCAUAAUAUGUAACAUAAUUUUAAUAUUUUUAUUUAGAAGUCAAGAAGAAUAUUUUUUAAAACAUAACUUUAGUACGUAUAAAUUUAAAAUACUGUCACUUAUUUACAUGACUUUUAAAUAAAUAAAAAAAAACUAUGGUGAUUCGAGAGAAAAAAAAUCCAGUUAAAAGUUCUAUUUUAAGAAAAGUUCUCAUUUGAUAGAAGUUUAAGGAAAAAUAUAGUUUCUCAAUUUGAAUAUAAUUACAUGUCUUAGAAUUGUAUAUAUUUUUUUAUAUGAUAGUUUUAAAAUUAAAUGUAUAUAACAAAAACUAAAUUUGUAAUUAAAUAAUAUAAAAAGGUAUUAAAAUAAUAAUAUUAAGAAUUAUAAUAUGAUUGUAUAAAAAAUUUGAGUAAUGAAUUUAUUUUAUCCAAAUUUAAAUCAAAGUGAUAGUACAAUCAUUGGCCAGAAGCUGACGAGAGUAGGGAAAAUGGAACAAUAACAAAUUUGAAUUAUUAUCCCCAUUCGUAUUCAUACCCUCAUUUCUUAUAUUAUUUUUAGGGAAAUUUCAUAGUACUCAUAAUCUCACCUUUUUUUAAAUAAAAAUAAAUAUUUCACAGCUUUUUUUUUCUCUCUGGUGGUAAAAAUCAGUUUCUUUCUUAUCUUUUUAGCUAUUCAAGGUUUUAUUUCCCAUUGACAUUACAAGUGUAUGAUAAGGAUUAAUAAUUUUUUUAAAGUACAAUUAAAUUUUUAUAACUAAUUAGAUAUUAAUUUAAAAAUUAUUUAUUAAUAAUAUAAAUUAAUUUAGAUAUUAAUAUUUUUUUAGUUUUUAAAAUAAUAUUUAAUUUAAUUAAUAUAAUAAUUAAUUAUAUUUGUAUUUAGAACUAAUUUUUAUUUAAUACUUUUUUUGGUAAUGUAUAAAUAUAGAUGAUGUGGUAAUAGAUUAGGGUUUGCUAUUUAAGAACUUUAAAAAUUGUUGUGUAAAAAUUUGUCUGCACAAGUGGCUCGUUUACUAAGACUUGCUCUUGUACUUGCAAAUACAUAGAUAGUCAAGCAAGUUGAGUGGUUCAUUAGCUGGAAAGUGCAAUAGCUGCCAAAACCAUAGCCAUGGAUUAAACAAGGAAUCCAAAAAGAAUUUUUCUUGUCAUAGAGCUACCUCUCUUUCUAGUAUAUAAAACUCUCUACUCCUUCAUUCAACACCACACCACCACCAUCACCAUCUUCUUCUUCAGGUUUCUAUUUCUGUAUUACACCUCCUCUUCAUUCUGCUCAUACUCAUACUGAACUUUUCUCUUUUGCACAGGUUUAGGUUUGAUUUUGAAUCUCAUCAAAUAUACUAUCAACUAAGUUCUCAUUCUCUGGCUGGUGUCUAAAAUCCUUGGUAUGUAUGUAAUUAAUUUAGUCUUUUUAUAAAAGUUGAUCAUUGUUAUUUUUUUUAUUAUUGGUAGAGAUGAGAUAGAAAGUAGGAGGUCUUUUUAAUUGAUAUGUAGAUGAAAAGGUACUCUUUAAACAUCAUUAUGUUAUAUAAGGAUUGGAGCACCCUUAAAGUGGAUCCAUUUAAUUUUUUUACUGAAAAAAAAAUAAUUUCCUUUUAGUUUCUCUCCCUCCUUAAAUUUGGUUUCUUUUUAUGGGCAAAGCCCAUAAAAAGUAAAUGAGUAAGUCAUACUUCAACGGAUGACUUAUGAGAGGAUUAUGUUUUCAAAUACAGCUUUUAAUUAUUUUUAUUAUUUUCCUGUUGAAAUCAUACUAUGUAACUUAAUUUCAGGAAGUAUAUUUUUUAAAACAUAACUUUAUUAUAAAUUUAAAAUACUGUCACUUGUUUAUGACUUUUAAAUAAAAAAACACUAUGGUGAUUUGUGAGAAAAAAAUCCAAUUAAAUAUUCAAUUUUAAGAUAAGUUCUCAUGAGGUUGAAAUUUAAGUCACAUGUUAGAAAGCACAGGGUUGUAGUACAAUCAUUGACCAAAAGCUGAUGAGAGGGAAAGUGGGAACAGUAACAAAUUUGAAUUAUUAUCAGCAAUAUGACCCGACCCCAUUCAUGCACGUUUCUUAUAUUCUUUUUAGGUAAUUUUCACCUUUUUCAAAUAAAAAAUAAAAAUUUCACAGUUAUUUUCUCUCUCGUGGUAAAAUUCAGUUUCUUGUCGUCUUAGCUAUCCGAGGUUCUAUUUGAAAAUUCUUAUCUUAAAGGACGUUAUCCCCAUUGACAGAAAAAGUGUCUGAAAGGACAAUUAUAUAUUAACUUUGUACCAACCCUAUUCAAUUCCUCUUUCUUCACGUUUUUUAACCACCAAAGAUGAAGAUGAUGAUGGUGAUCUUCGCCCUUUUUGUUUUUUCUUUUCUCCUUUCAUUGCACGCGUUUGUUUCGUACUAAAUUUACUAUUUCAUAAAUUUUUUCAGCAUAUUUUAUUAACAUACUUUUUAAAGUUGUAUAUAUUUUUUAAAUGUUUACCAAUCUACCCAGUGAAAUAGCUUUUUGAAUGAAAAUUUGUUUGAAAUAUUUGUUAUCUUUGGUUAGGGUGGAAAUAUGAAGAAACAGAUUACUCUCAAUCCCGAUUCUCUUCACUCCAUAUUAAUCCUACAAGCAUCAUUGUUUUCAAUCACUCUCCAAGUUGUGACUUGAGUUGAGGAAAGCAUCUUAAUUUUCCAUAAAAAUUUAUAUCUUCUUGAGUCUUCCUCACUUCCUUCUCCCUUUAAAAAAUCAUAUGCGAACUUAACUGAAAACUCUGUUGAAUCACUAUCCUUCCAAACCCAUCUAUCCAUUGUUUCCAUCUUGAGCAUCUUAUUAGAGAUCAUCUCUAAGAGUUGACUUUCUUGCUCUUCUUCCCAAGCGAACAAACCCCUUCUCCAUCUUAAGUUCCACUCCCAGUCUCAUUCCCCCAUAUUCCACAAUCACAUAAAUUAGUCUCCUUAUUAACAGACAAAGAAAAUAACCUUGAAAAUCUGCUCUUCAAGUCUUUUGAGUCUAUCCAAUUGUCUGACCAAAACAUAACCUCUCUCCUGUUUCCGACCUCCAAAUUCAAACGAUCUUCAAACUUCCCUCCUCAUUCCUUCCUUAAAUCUCUCCACCACAUAGAAACCUUACUAUUAUUAUCUCACUUCUUCUUCAAACCUCUCCAUCCUCCAUACUUAGAUUCCUAUACCUCCCUCCACAACCCCCUGUUUCCAUUUUCAGACGUCAAAUCCAUUUUCCCAUCAGAGCCAAAUUAAAUUGCCUGACAUUCAUAAUACCAAGCUCUCCUGCUUCCUUGGAUUUACAAACAUUAUCCCAUGUCACCCAAGCAAUCUUCCUUCCAAGUCUACUCCAAUACCAAUCCCAAAACCCUAAACCAACGCAGAUUUUAGGUUGGUUAGAUAUGUGCUCUGCUGUUUGGAAGAGAAUAUCAUUUUUGUUUUGUUGAGUUAAUGUUAGGUGUUCAAAAUGUAUAAGGGUUAAACCAUCCUUAAAAUAAUCUAUAUUUUUUUUUCAAUAAAAAAAACAUAAUACUUAUCAUUUUAACCUUUUUUGGUCAAUGUAGUAUUACUUAUUUAACAAAUUAAUAAAAAUUAGCAAAAAUAAAUUAAUAUAAUAAUAAAAUAUGAAGAAACAAUUUAAAUAAAAAUGAGUAAAAUAGUUUUUUUUAUCGGUAAUAAACUAUUAAAUUAAAUCGGUUCACUUAAGGGGUGAUCCAACCUUGUACAGAUAAUAAAAGAUAAAAGUUCAUUUUCACCUUUGUAUCUAAAAUUCACAGAUUAAUCUUCUACUUUCUUUCCAAUACUAAUAACUAUAACUGAAGAAAAAAAACAAAUAACGCACCAGAAAAAAAGAGAGUAAAAUAGUAAUAAUAAUAAAAUGUAGUUAAAUUUUUAUUUUAUUCUAGGUCUAGUUAAUUAUUUUUCUUUCUUCUUAUUUACAUUGAAUAUGUGUAUGCUUAUUUUGUGAAUGCAGGUUGUGAACAUAGAAGGGAAAUCCUGUUCCACAUUAUCUAGUUAGAGAAGGAAAUGAGUGACACUCCAACUUCAACAUCUCAACUCUCCAACCAUGCAACAGAAUCCAAUGCAGAUCAUCAUCAGUAUAAUGCUCCUGACCUUUGCUUUCUACAAGAAACAAAUGGUAAAAGUUAGUUAUAUUUCUCAUUUAUCCAUUGUAUAAUUUUUUUAUUAAAAAAAAAUUAAUAUAAUAAAAAUUAUUUAAGAUACUUCAACCUUUAUACAGAAUCUCGACCAUUUCCAUCGACUCCUACGAAUAUUCACACAACAUUACCUUUCCUGAAAUAAAAAAAUCCAAGCAAACAUAGGAGAACAUGGAUAAAUACUAUGGUACUCUAAACGGUUCGACCAAUUCUUCCGAAAUCUUCUCCAUGGUUCCUUGAAGGUUUGGUCUUGAGUUACUUCUUCUAAAGUUUCUUCAGUCUGUUUUUUUUUUUCUGAUUGGUGUUUAAAUCCCUAAUAUGUAUGUGUUCGAUUAAAAACAUAUGAUUUGUUAUAGAUUGAUCAGGUGUUUUUUUUUUCUAUUUGUGAAGGGAUGUCGAUUUUGUUAGGUUGAAUUGAUUGUUAGAUGUUGAUAAUGUAUAAAGGGUUGGACCACCUAAAAUAAUUCAUAUUUAUUUAUUUUGUAAAAUAUUUGCAAAAAGUUUAGCACUAUUACCUAAAAUACACUGCAAAACUUACCACUCAUACAACAAAACACCAUGUUUUGUGGCAGCUUGACCUAUACCAGAUUAAAUUAACCCCAAUAUAUUUGUUUUGGCACCUUCUUUCACAUCUUUUCAAAAAUAGGUUGGCGGAACCUGCAACCUCAAAAUAUCAGAAAACAGAAAUCUUUUGUUGCACCCCAACAAAGUUGUCGUUGCUGGUGCCUCUAUAAUCCACUUGACCAUUAUAUACUUGUAAUAACCUCUAUGUUGGGCUCCUCCCAUUUCCUCAUCCAUUAUGCUUCACUUUUUUUAUUUUCUUCUUCAGCUUUGUUGCCUCUUGAGCCUCUACUGCAUCAUUGUUAUACAAAGUAGUUUCUUGCUAAAAUACCUAACUCAAUUGAACCUGCAAGACCAGCAUAAUCAUAUCCAGAAACCUUUCCAUCUGUUCCCAUACAAAUCCUAACAUAUAUGUAAUCCACAUUUAAAACAGAUAAUCAAUGUGCUUCUAAAUAACAUCUCCUUAAGGGUUCCUUAGAUGGCAACCAAUACCACAGCUUUAGUUGUCUCAGGUUAAAGAUUUCAAUAUAAUCUAUUCUACCAUUCUUAAAAUUGCACUUAUUCAUCUGUUUCCAUAUCUCUUCUAUUACUGAAAUCCAUAUACCUCCCUACACCAAGUCCUCCAUUUUCUCUUAACUCACAUACUUUCUACCAUGAUACUCAUGCUAUUUACCUACCCUCGAUCACUAUCCCCAUAAAAAAUUUCGUUGUGAUUUCAUCACUGACACUGGCAUUCUAUACAAUAAAUAAAACAAUGGAAGCAAUGUGAGUAUAGAUAAUGAAAUAUCCUUCUUGUCAUUGAUAUAAACUUACCUUUCCAUCUACCUAAUAUUUUUCUUAUUUUAUCUACCACUCCGUCCUAGAAACUGCAUUUUUUUGUGAUUUCUCCCUACUGUCAUUCCUAGAUAUACAAACGAGGUUUUUAUUAUAUCGCAAUUGAGUAUUAAUGCGUAAUUUUGUAAGGUUCUAUUGUUGACUCUCACCCCUCUUAUCCUACUUUUCAAUAAAUUUACUGAGUCUAGAAACUAAUUCAAAACAAUUCAGGAUUAUCUUUAUCAGAAAAACACUUUGUGUGCUAGCUUUGUAGAAGAACAAAGUAUCAUUUGCCUGUCACCAACCUCUACAUUAUCUAACAUGUUAUUCGUUUUUGCUUGUCUAAUAACCCCAGUUAAAUCCUCUACCACUAUAAGAAACAAAAAAGGCGCCAAGGAGUCUCCUUGUCUCAACCCCUUCUGUGGUUUGAAUUCCUGGGUUGGGCUCCCAUUUACUAAUAUUGACAUUGUGGAGGAUUCUAAACAUGUUCUCAUCCAUGUUAUCCACUUUUCACAAAAACUCAAUCUACUAACAUGUAAUAGAUGAAUUCCCAUCUAAGAAAAUCAUAAGUCUUCUCAUAAUCCACUUUAAAGAACACACAACUUUUCUUUUUUCUCUUCACUUCCUCUAGAACUUCGUUGGUCACUAGAAUACUAUCCAUUAAACCCCUACCCUUUAAGAACGUUGAUUGUCUAAAAUUAAUAACCUUAUGUGACACCUUUUUCAAUCUCGAAGAUAAGAUCUUAGAUACUAUUUUGUAAAUGUAGUCAACUAACGAAAUAGGUCUAAACUCAUGUAAGUGUGUGGGUUAACAAACUUAGGUAUUAAAGAUAUGAAGGAAGCAUUUGAUCCCCUGAGCCAUCUUCCACUAUCAGCGGAAUUUUGUACUGCAUUAAUUAUGUCAUACUUGAUUUCCUCCAAAAAAAACUUUAUGAAGUCAAAAUUGAAACCAUCUGAUCCUAGACUUUUGAAACUAUCACAAUUCCAUACAACUUCUUUUACUUCUUCUUACCAACAUGUUGUUAUCUUCAGUGGGAAUGGAAUUAAAACUUACAUAUUAGCUAACUUAACCUGUUGCCACUCUCCCCACUGAAUCUAUCUUUGAAAAACUCUUUAACCUUUCUUUCACUACUAUCGGAUCCUCACACCAUCUACUAUUCGUUAUUAAACCACUAAACUCAUUUCUCAAUCUUCUCCGUUUAAUUUUUGAAUGAAAGUAUUUUGUGUUAAGGUCACCCUGCUUCAACCACCUAUGUCGAGCUUUUUCCUGUAUAAUAAUCUCUUUUUUAAAGUUAUUCCUAUUCAACUCGGCUAAUAAUCCUAUUCUCUCUCCUUUUUUCUUCCUCUCCUAAUUCACUCUCAUCAUCUAAUUCUUGAAUUUUCUUUUCUAUUUCCACCCCAACCUUAUUAACAUCUCCAUAGACUUCUUUGUUCCAAACCUUUAUAUCUGAUUCUAGUUUUUUAAAAUUUUCUUUAAUGAUAAACAACCCACCAUCUCACAACUCUUCGAACGACUCCUUAUCAAGUCCUUAAAUAUGCAAUCUCUUUGCCAUAUAUCUAAGAACCUCAAUGGUUUCAGACCCCAAUCUAUAUAAUUAUCUUUUAACACCAAGACACAAUGAUCCGACACCGAACUGCUUAAGUCAUAUUGUUUACUAUCUGGCCAUUUAUCUAUCCAUUCAAUGGAAACCAAAAUCCUACCAAGUCUACCCUUAAUUGUCCCAUUAGGUUUGUACCAAGUAAAUUUUCUUUCUAUCAUUGGGAUAUCUAACCGUUGUGUUUUCUCUAUGAAUGAACCAAACCAACGUAUUUCCUUACUAUAAUCAACAUUUGUAUUCAAACUCUUCCUUUCCUCUAUUGUCCUAAUUGAAUUGAAAUCUCCUAGCACGCACCACGCCUUUGUGAUUUGUUCCUUCCUAACCUCUAUACUUCUUCCCAUACCUUUCUCUUUCCUUCAAUGAACCAAUGCAAUACACAUCAUAAUGAUAUACCCUAAACAUUUCAAAACAAUUUUUUCUCCACAUCAUAAUGAUUUCACUUGCAUUAUUAUUAGUACAAUUUUCUACCAUUCUAUAUCAUUAGAACCCAAAUGUGAAAAACAUUUCUCCAUGUCCAAUUUUGCAUACUUUGUCUCUUCAAUACACAUUAAUCCUAUCUCUUCUUUCCUUAUAAGUUCUGUUAAAUAUUUUCUUUUUAAAUUUCCACCUAGACCUCUUAUACAUACUAAUUAGUUUCAUCAGAUAAAUUGUUUUCUAUCUUGGUACCCCUCUUUCUUUUAUUAUCUCGUACCUCCAUUGACUGUAUCUACCUAUAAUCACGUCAUCCUCGCCCGUAAAAGAGAAACCUAUUUCUUUGCCUAAAUUCCAAAUCCUUAUGGUCUCAUAAUUAUCAAUUUUUAGUCAAAAUAGACGAUUCCAAUUUUUUACAGCACUAUUGGAUAAGAAAUUGUUGAGGUUAUACGAACUAACUUUAGGUCCAAUAAGGUCCAACUAUUGUUCGAAGGAGACCUCCUGUCGUGUUCCACCCAGGAUUUACGGGUAUUUCUUCCUGCACCCCCUACAUUUUUCUUCAUACACCCCUACAUUCUUUGAAAUACCAGAAUUAUCUUUGAUAAUUUUGAGUAGUUCUAGAAUAGGGAUUCCGUAAACAAAAGGUUUUUUUUUUAAAUAAGGAUUUUGUAAGUAAAGUGUGUUUUCAGAAUAGAAAAUCUAGAAGAAAAAAAAACCAUUCUAGAAUAUCCUUUUCAGAACACAUUUUUUAAUUUUCAGAAUGGUAAAUCUAAAAUUCAAAAAAUAUUCCAGAAAAAUAAUCCAAAAGUCAUUUUUAAAAGAGGUAAAAUAAUAUUUUCCAAAAAUGAUGGGGCGCAGUAAGCCAUUUGUUGAGGGGGAGGGAGAAACACCCAUUCUUUACUAGGUAAAUGGGCCUGACUGAGCCCAAUAGGAAUUAAGUCAUCAACGCAUGUUCCCUUCUUAUCCGUUGAGUAUCCCACAGAGAAGUUAUUGAUGUGCUUCAGAAUAUUAUUUCACACCCACAUUUUCCAUUGCUCCAAAUUACAUCUUCCACAUUAUAGAAGUUAUGAAAUAUAAGAGUAUUAUAGAGGUUAUAAAAUAUAAAAGGGUAUUUUUGUUUAUUAAAAAAGUGUAAUUUGAAACAGGGUGUCAAAUAUCAUUGCUCUUUUCUGAAAGUGUCAUUCUUCUCCUUUUUCUUAUGCAUACUCCAGUACCUCCAUUGUUAAUCUUGUGCAAUUGCCCUUGACCAAAGAAAACCCACAAUAUAAUUAAUUGGUAAGCAGUGUAAUACUAAAAAUGAUACAGUGGAAGGGUUUCUGACUAUUAGAUAUCAUCUUUGUUUCAGCGAACCAAUUUUUUGAAUUUUGCGUGCCCCUUUACAAAUAUGCUCUAAAAGGCAAUUGGACAGCAGCUAAGGGGAUCUUAGAAAACAAUGAUGGGAGACUGAAACAUGCUGCAAUAGCACCUGGUUGGAGUACACUGCUCCAUGUUGCUGCAGGUUCAAACCAUUCUUCUUUUGUGGAAGGGCUGUUACAGAUGCUCGAAGUUCAACACCUUUCAUUGCAAGACAACAAGGGCAACACUGCCUUCUGCUUUGCUGUUGCAUCUGGAAACAUGCGUAUUGCUAACUUAUUGAUAGAAAAAUAUCCAUCCUUGCCAUACUUGCAAAACUUGCCAUCCUUGCAAACUAUCAGAGGUGGAGGUGGAUACAUCCCUAUUCAGUUUGCUGUGAUGCAAGGAAAAUGUGAAAUGACAUGGUUUCUAUAUAACCAAAUCAGCAUACAAGAAUUCGAAGAUCGUGACAAGAGAUCUUUGUUUUUCUCUUGUGUAAAAACUGGCAACCAUAGUAAGCAUUUAUCAUUUAUUUUUAACUCAGUUUUUACUAUAUUGUUGAUGUUCUUUACUAUUGUGUCAAAUUUAUUAAAUAUUAUGAACUUUAUAACAUUCACUCAAUCUUAGAAUAAAGAUAACCAUAUCACUAAAUUAUAAGAAUUGUUUUGGCAUACAAUAACGAAGAUAAUAAUUACUCUUACAAAUAAUUUUAUAGUUAGUUUUAAUGACAAAUAUCUUAAAUAUUUAUCGAAAUACAUUUUAGGGUUGGCCUUAGAAAUGGCAAGAGAGUGGGAAGAUCUAGCUUGGGCACGUGAUGAAAAUGAUGACACAGCUUUGCAUCUCUUGGCUCUAAAUAAAGACCAUUUGCAUUCUUGUUCUCAUUGUCCAGAGAUUACAAAUCCCAUCACGAUCAACCCUGGUAAAUUCUUACAUUCACCAAAUAUACAAAAAGUUUGAGUGGCUUUGACUUAAGGAGCUUUCAAAGGUGUUUCAUUGCAAGUAAUAGAUUUUUUAUGUUGCAGGCAUGAAAAAAGUUGUGACUUUUCAAUUGGUUAAAUAUCUCUGGCAAACGAUUCUUAGAUGCAAAAGGUUAUCGGAAGCAAUUCGAAUCAUAAGUAAUCCUUACCAGGCUUUAUUUGAUGCAGCAUCAGUUGGUAACUUUGGAUUCUUAUCAGAGCUUAUUAGUGCUUGUCCUACUUUGAUAUGGGAAGUUGACAACAAAAAUCAUAGUAUAAUUCACACAGCAGUUUCAUGUCGCCAUGCUAGCAUUUUCAACCUAAUACACGAGAUUGAGUCCCAAAAGGAUCUUAUAGUAACAUAUCUCGUGGAUGAAAGCAAUCCUUCACCUUCACCUUCUCCGACAAAUAUAAGAAAUAGCACUCUAUUGCAUUUGGCUGCAAAGUUAGCUCCACCAGAACAACUUGAAUUAGUUUCUGGAGCAGCAUUCCGGAUGUGCCUCGAGAUAAGAUGGUUUGAGGUAAUCAAUCUUAUAUAGACAUUUUAUUCCAAACAUUUUAACUAUUAGGUUCGGACACUCCUUUUAAAUAGCGUGUUUGUGUUGGGCACACAUAUCACAUUCGUAGGACACGUAUUGGUGAAGUGUCUAAUUCAAAAAAUAUUUUUUGAAUUUUCAAUAAUUAUAGCUCAGUUCUAACACAAUUUAAAAAUGAUAAAUAUAUUAAUUUUCUAAAAAUUCAAAUUUAUUAUAUAAAUUUUUGUUAUAAUUAUAAAAAUAAAGACUAAAUCCUUUUGAACCAGCCAUGUAUGUUUAUGCUCUAAACAAAAUCUAAAACAUACUUAAGCACAUAAAUCCUUAUUGUCAAUUUAUAUAAUUCAUAAUUAUAUAAUAUAUAGAUCUCUGUUCUAUGUCCUACAUUUUAAAGAUUAUAAUUAACUCGUGUCCGUAUCCGUAUCAUAUUAGUGUAUCUGUGAGUGUAUGUAUUACAUAGGUUUUGACACAAAUUGAAUAUGGAUUGGAGACCUACUGUGUUUGAGCUAGUGUCUUUGGUGAAGGUUGAAGUAAAUGGAAUCAGACAAUUCUUUUAAGAUCUGAAUACUUAGAAAAUAUGACAAUUACAGUUGCUGAGUUAUACUUAAUAAGACUACAUUGUCAUUAAACUGUUAUUUAAGAUAUGAUUUUGAUAUUAAAUCAUAGAUAAUUUUGUAUUAAGUUUUCAACAUAUAUAUAUGUGACAGGAGGUGAAGAAGAUAAUGUCUCCAUCAUUCAUAACAAUGAAAAACCCUGAUGACCAAACUGCUCAGGCAUUAUUUACAAAAGAACAUGAAGGAUUGCGGAAAGAAGGAGAAGAGUGGAUUAAACGCACUGCUGAGUUUUGUAUGCUUAUUUCAACUGUUAUUGCUACAGCAGUGUUCGCUGCUGCCAUUAACAUACCAGGUGGUAUUGAUGAUCAAACAAAAAAACCAAAAUACAUGGACCAAACAUCAUUUUUGAUAUUUGCAAUAUCAGAUGCAGCGGCUUUCAUUUUAUCUUCAAUUGCACUAUUAAUAUUCUUGUCUAUUCUCAUCUCACGUUAUGCACAGUAUGACUUUUACAAGUCAUUACCUAUGAAGUUAAUAUCUGGACUCAUAACUCUAUUCCUCUCCAUAACAUUUAUGAUGGUAGCAUUUGGCAGUGCUUUCUUCAUAACAUACACCUGUAAUUCGAAGCUGGUUCCAGAUUUAGUUUCAAUAGUAGCAGUGCUACCAUUA
rnacentral:lncRNA from 1 species